UACGUAGGGUGCAAGCGUUGUCCGGAAUUAUUGGGCGUAAAGAGCUCGUAGGCGGUCUGUCGCGUCGGCUGUGAAAUCCCGAGGCUCAACCUCGGGUCUGCAGUCGAUACGGGCAAACUGGAGUGUUGCAGGGGAGACUGGAAUUCCUGGUGUAGCGGUGAAAUGCGCAGAUAUCAGGAGGAGCACCGGUGGCGAAGGCGGGUCUCUGGGCAACAACUGACGCUGAGGAGCGAAAGCGUGGGGAGCGAACAGG
rnacentral:rRNA from 1 species